rnacentral:sRNA from 2 species
CCAAUAUAUCGGCCGAAUCCUCCACCGGGAGGUACGGGGGAAUUCAAUCGAUGCGGGGUGAAUCCACGCCUGGCGGGAGGUGAAACAAACAGGCGCGGUAGGGUGCCCUCGCCCGAAUCCGUCAACUAACUCCGGAGGCCGGAGGAGGGAAAAA